GCCUAGCUGACGAGUUCAAAAUAGGACUGGAUGCGCGUCCUGGAU
rfam:Schistosoma curassoni strain Dakar, Senegal genome assembly, scaffold: SCTD_contig0000609